AGGACAAAAACCAGGACAGUUUGGCACCUCCUGCCACCUUCAUCUUGUCGAUCUGUAAAUUAUCUGUUCCGUUCAGCCUGAGAGGAAUCAACCCACGGGGCGCGACUUUACCAGGCCUGUAUUUCGGGAGCUGGUUUGGGCAGGGCUGGGGAAACAGGAGGCUUUGGGUAGAGGAAAAUGGCUGGAGCAAAGCUGCGGGAUCGGGCCCUCAGUCCCCGAGCCCUCCCCGCCCCGGCACUGCGGCAGAGCCACAGCAUGCGACCCGGGCCCUCAGGCCACGGCACGGGCCGGGCUGACAGCGCUCCCAGAAGGUUCCAGAGGCUGAGGGAGGCUCUGCAGCCCCCACAGCGCCAGGGCGGGCCCUGCUCCUCCCUCCACGUGCCCACAGCGCCCGGGGAGCGGCCGGAGCGGGGAGGAGGGCAGCCCACCCGAACCGGAGACAUAAAGCAAAGCCGCACAGCGAAUCCUGAUGGGUUCACGCUGGCUUCAAAUCAAUGAAGUUUACCCCAGGAAAAGCGAGCUGAUUGCAUAGAUUCCACCAUUCUGCAGAAACAAAGUUAUCAUAGAAAAAAAUCUGAAAAACUAUUAUCUGUUGAGCCUUUGAGAACUUCACUUGAUAUUGAAACAGAUAAACACUGACCUGGAACUCUGAAGUGCCUGUUUCUAGUCCAGCCUGAGGAGAACAACUGGAAUCCAAGCUACUUGUUUUUGCUACAGCACAACAGCUGUUCUGUGGGAUGUUUCACCUUUGCAAGGAGCUGGUACAUUGCAAAAGUUUCAUUUUGUAUUUGAAUGUGUAGUCUGAAUGUUAUAUUUCUUAAUCACAUCCAGGAGAUUUCUAUUGUGAUUGAUCACAAUGUCAACUUGGAAAAUUAGAUCCCUUUUUUCUGCCAAAGUCCAUGAAUAGGCUUGGUCUUUUACAUAACCAUUGAUAGAAUUAGCCUUUUUCAGAGAAGCUGGAACAGUAGGUCUAAUUUCCUUUAUGUUAUUUAUUAUUCCAUUUAAAUUAAUUACUUUUUGAUCUUUAGACUUUUUAGUAGUGUAUAAAUGUAAAUCAUACCCUGUGUAUCCAAGCAUGUAACACAAUAUAUUCAAAAUUCUGGACAAGAUGCAUCCAUUCUUUUUUUUCUGAACUCACUUUCCUAGCUUGAUUUUUUUUUUUUCUGGAGAAAAUUAUCUGGGGUCCUAUUUAAACCUUCACAAAUGUAUUUCAGUCAUCAAAUCAGAUAUUUAAUGGGCUUGACAUUUUGAGUAACUGCUCCCUGGGUAUUUUCAUUCUCCCUUAAAAGGAAGCUAGCAUUAAGGGAGAGAAUGGAUACCUAAUGAAAUGUCAAAAACAUUGAAUAUCUGCUUUGAAUUUGGAGCAUAAUGUAGCACAUUUUCUUUUAGAUAUUAAUAAAAAUAUACAUUUUUUUCUGUGUUGAGCACAUCUUUCAUAUUUUCUGCAAUUAAAAAUGCCUUUAAAUAAUUUUAUUCCUUUUUUUUAUUUUUUACUCCAAGGAAUUGAAACAAUUUUGUGAAGCUUGGCAUUUUGAAAACAGAACAUUUCCCCAUUAAAUAGUGUCAAUGGAAGAUUGUAGAGUAGCUCUGGGGAAAGUGAAAAGUGAUUUUAACAGUCAGCCCUAAUAAAAGGUUUUCAUAUUUAUCAACUAAGGAUUGCUACAUGAACUCCAGCAAAUGUUGUGGGAGCUCAGCAUUGGAAUUCACUGAGCAUUUUUUGUCCCACAGAAGAGUUUGCUUGCAUACACCUGUCUCUACUGUUUUCUAGUUUAAAAAAUCAGACAGAUUCCCAUAUAGCAUGUAGACCACUAAAAUUAAAAAUAAAUUAAGUAGCAUGAUGUGAAUACAGCACAUUAUAGGUAACAAAAUAUUGUCUAGAAGGCAAACCAGAACUUAUGCAUUGCUGUUAGAAUUUUUUAUUAUUUUUUUCCUGGGAUUCCUUGAGAGAAAAUGUCUACAGUAAAAAAUGAUAAUGAAAUAUAUGCCCUUCUCCACACUUCUUCA